rnacentral:rRNA from 1 species
GAUGAACGCUGGCGGCGUGCCUAAUACAUGCCAGUCGAGCGAACAGACGAGGAGCUUGCUCCUCUGACGUUAGCGGCGGACGGGUGAGUAACACGUGGAUAACCUACCUAUAAGACUGGGAUAACUUCGGGAAACCGGAGCUAAUACCGGAUAAUAUGUUGAAUCGCAUGGUUCAAUAGUGAAAGACGGUCUUGCUGUCACUUAUAGAUGGAUCCGCGCCGCAUUAGCUAGUUGGUAAGGUAACGGCUUACCAAGGCAACGAUGCGUAGCCGACCUGAGAGGGUGAUCGGCCACACUGGAACUGAGACACGGUCCAGACUCCUACGGGAGGCAGCAGUAGGGAAUCUUCCGCAAUGGGCGAAAGCCUGACGGAGCAACGCCGCGUGAGUGAAGAAGGUCUUCGGAUCGUAAAACUCUGUUAUUAGGGAAGAACAAAUGUGUAAGUAACUAUGCACGUCUUGACGGUACCUAAUCAGAAAGCCACGGCUAACUACGUG